rnacentral:rRNA from 1 species
AACGAACGCUGGCGGCAUGCCUAACACAUGCAAGUCGAACGAGACCUUCGGGUCUAGUGGCGCACGGGUGCGUAACGCGUGGGAACCUGCCCUUAGGUUCGGAAUAACUCCCCGAAAGGGGUGCUAAUACCGGAUAAUGUCUUCGGACCAAAGAUUUAUCGCCUUUGGAUGGGCCCGCGUUGGAUUAGCUAGUUGGUAGGGUAAAAGCCUACCAAGGCGACGAUCCAUAGCUGGUCUGAGAGGAUGAUCAGCCACACUGGGACUGAGACACGGCCCAGACUCCUACGGGAGGCAGCAGUGGGGAAUAUUGGACAAUGGGCGAAAGCCUGAUCCAGCAAGGCCGCGUGAGUGAUGAAGGCCUUAGGGUUGUAAAGCUCCUUUACCCGGGAUGAUAAUGACAGUACCGGGAGAAUAAGCUCCGGCUAACUCCGU